GAUGAACGCUGGCGGCGUGCCUAAUACAUGCAAGUCGAGCGAACACACGAGGAGCUUUCUCCCCUGACGUUAUCGGCCGUCGGAUGAGUAACACGUGGAUAACCUACCUCUAAGACUGGGAUAAUAUCGGGGAACCGGAUCUACUACCGGAUAAUAUAUUGAACCGCAUUGUUCAAUAGUGAAAGACGCUUUUGCUGUCACUUAUAGAUGAAUCCGCGCCCCAUUAGCUAGUUGGUAAAGUAACGGCUUACCAAGGCUACGAUGCUGAGCCGACCUGAGCGGGUGAUCGGCCACACUGGAACUGAGACACGGUCCAGACUCCUACGGGAGGCAGCAGUAGGGAAUCUUCCGCAAUGGGCGAAAGCCUGAUGGAGCAACGCCGCGUGAGUGAUGAAGGUCUUCGGCUCGUAAAACUCUGUUAUUAGGAAAGAACAAAUGUGUAAGUACCCAUGCACGUAUUGACGGUACCUAAUCAGAAAGCCACGGCUAACUACGUG
rnacentral:rRNA from 1 species